AUACGGAGGAUCCGAGCGUUAUCCGGAUUUAUUGGGUUUAAAGGGAGCGUAGGUGGAUUGUUAAGUCAGUUGUGAAAGUUUGCGGCUCAACCGUAAAAUUGCAGUCGAAACUGGCAGUCUUGAGUACAGUAGAGGUGGGCGGAAUUCGUGGUGUAGCGGUGAAAUGCUUAGAUAUCACGAAGAACUCCGAUUGCGAAGGCAGCUCACUAGACUGUUACUGACACUGAUGCUCGAAAGUGUGGGUAUCAAACAGGAUUAGAUACCCUGGUAGUCCACACAGUAAACGAUGAAUACUCGCUGUUUGCGAUAUACAGUAAGCGGCCAAGCGAAAGCAUUAAGUAUUCCACCUGGGGAGUACGCCGGCAACGGUGAAACUUAAAGGAAUUGACGGGG
rnacentral:rRNA from 1 species